AUGAAUUCCCUGUAUUUUGGGGGGAGCUGGGCUUUAUUUUGGCGGCGUUCGCAGGGAUUCCGUCAAUUCUGGCUCCUCGUGGGCCUUCGCUGGUGCGGAUUUGGGGGAAAAGCCCCCCCCGAUCUUUGCGGAGAGAGGAGCCGGGAAAGGGGCUGGGAAAUGCUGGGAAAGGUGCGGAAAAGCAGGAAUCGCCCAAGGUUGUGGCGCGGAGCCGCGGGGGAUCCGCGCAGGUACCGGCUCCGCGCUGCUCUCCCCGCACCGCGCCCCGCGGGGGGGUUGGGAUGGGACAGAUCCCUCCUGAAAAACCCAUCCCAAGGCGCUUUUUUUUUUUGGGGGGGGGGAGGGAAGCGCCAGGCUGGAGUCGCGCGCGGAUUUCCCGCAGCAGGCCGGAGCUGCUGGGCUGGAAUCCAUCGCCUCCAGCAGCCACCUCCGUCCUCCCUCCGCCCCGCUCCUCCCUCCCCCGCCGCAGUUCGGGGCUUUUUUGUCUCCUCCGAGGGCACCGGGCUCUUCCCCAACACCUUUGGGGCUGGCGGGGGUGCCAGGAGCGGGCAGACAAUGGGAUUUCGCAGACACAACUCGCAGCUCGCGCCCGUGGUUAUCUAUGCUAAUUACAGCCUGUCUGACAGAAACAUAAUAAAUGCAGAGGCAGAAAGGAUGGAAAAAUGUUUCUCCAGGCAGUGCUCGCCUCGCCUCUCUGGGUUCAGGCUUGUUCCCCGCUCCUCUUUUCAUUUAGGAGUCGGGUUUUUUUUAGGGUUUGUGGGUUUGGUAAUUUUUUUUCCCCUUCUCUUGACCCGCCGCGCGCAUCGCACCCAAAAAAACCCCGGGCGAAGCUGGAGAGAAACGCGGAUUUUGCGCCUCUCCGCGCUGCUCGCGGGGCUUUGGGAACAUCCGCAGGAGGCUGAGGCUGGCGCAGACCUGAAAUUUUAUUUUGGGGGGGGGGGGGAAGAGACCACAACGCACUUAAAGAAAUCGGUCCGAGCUUUAAUUGCGGCUCGGAAUUUAUUGUCCACCCGCGGUACCUCCAGCGCUGGAGGGACAGGAAUUCUGAGCCGCAGACACGAGGGGGGGAUGCGAGCGGGGGGGAGGCACUCGAGCAGGUAA
rnacentral:lncRNA from 1 species